rnacentral:rRNA from 1 species
GAGUUUGAUUCUGGCUCAGAUUGAACGCUGGCGGCAUGCUUUACACAUGCAAGUCGGACGGCAGCACAAAGAAGCUUGCUUCUUGGGUGGCGAGUGGCGAACGGGUGAGUAAUGCAUCGGAACGUACCGAGUAGUGGGGGAUAACUGUCCGAAAGGAUGGCUAAUACCGCAUACGCUUUGAGAAGGAAAGCGGGGGAUCUUCGGACCUCGCGCUAUUCGAGCGGCCGAUGUCUGAUUAGCUGGUUGGUGGGGUAAAGGCCUACCAAGGCGACGAUCAGUAGCGGGUCUGAGAGGAUGAUCCGCCACACUGGGACUGAGACACGGCCCAGACUCCUACGGGAGGCAGCAGUGGGGAAUUUUGGACAAUGGGCGCAAGCCUGAUCCAGCCAUGCCGCGUGUCUGAAGAAGGCCUUCGGGUUGUAAAGGACUUUUGUCAGGGAAGAAAAGCUUGAGGCUAAUACCCUUGAGUGAUGACG